GACAGAGGCCCCAAGCGUUAGGCGGAAUCACUGGGCUUAAAGCGUGUGUAGGCGGACGCCUAAGUGUCUUGUGAAAUCCCACGGCUCACCCGUGGAACUGCUGGGCAUACUGGCGAUCUUGGGCCAACUAGGGGCAGUCGGAACAAGCGGUGGAGCGGUGAAAUGCGUAGAUAUCGCUUGGAACGCCGGACGGUGAAAACAGGUUGCUGGGAAUGUGCCGACGCUGAGACACGAAAGCCAGGGGAGCAAACGGG
rnacentral:rRNA from 1 species